UAAGCCCUUAUUAUUUUCCAUCAAUUAAACAAACCCUAGCCGUCACUUAUAUCUCAAAUUCUCUGAAAAUCAUUCAACCAAAUUCCUAAUUUUAUCACUGCAAUUCUCGUAUCAAAUUGGGAUCCAUCUCGUCCCAGCGGUAGUAGAAUCAAUUCUCUACGAUUCCAAACUUUGUUUUCGUAAAAUGACUCGUCGACUGUGCAUGCUUCGGAGUCGAUUCAGGGUUUAUCGCUUGCCAGGUUUUCACGUGGAUUAGUAACCAGUGAGUUUGUAGUGCUAUUUACCGCUUUAUUAAGUACCACAUCAUAUUUUAAUAUUAUAAAUGCUUUUGAAUUGUUUUAAGCGAUUAUGGAUCUGGAUUGAAACGAGCUACUUGAUAGCCUUGUAUCGA